rnacentral:rRNA from 1 species
GACGAACGCUGGCGGCGUGCCUAAUACAUGCAAGUUGAGCGCUGAAGGUUGGUACUUGUACCGACUGGAUGAGCAGCGAACGGGUGAGUAACGCGUGGGGAAUCUGCCUUUGAGCGGGGGACAACAUUUGGAAACGAAUGCUAAUACCGCAUAAAAACUUUAAACACAAGUUUUAAGUUUGAAAGAUGCAAUUGCAUCACUCAAAGAUGAUCCCGCGUUGUAUUAGCUAGUUGGUGAGGUAAAGGCUCACCAAGGCGAUGAUACAUAGCCGACCUGAGAGGGUGAUCGGCCACAUUGGGACUGAGACACGGCCCAAACUCCUACGGGAGGCAGCAGUAGGGAAUCUUCGGCAAUGGAUGAAAGUCUGACCGAGCAACGCCGCGUGAGUGAAGAAGGUUUUCGGAUCGUAAAACUCUGUUGGUAGAGAAGAACGUUGGUGAGAGUGGAAAGCUCAUCAAGUGACGGUAACUACCCAGAAAGGGACGGCUAACUACGUG